AGGGCCUUGUGCUUCCUAGGCAAGUGCUCUACCACUGAGCUAAAUCCCCAACCCCCUGACUUCAUUCUUACCCACAAGGAUUUAGGGUGAAGAUUGGCUCUGAGAUGUGACCCCAGCUUCCAUCCUGUCUCUAUACAUUCAUGUGAUCUGUCCUUUGGUCAGUUGCCGUUCACUAUGCACAGUGAUGUGCAAGGCCCUCGCUAGGGGCUGGAUCCCAGGAUCACUGGUGUGGUGGACAAGCUGUGCCCAAGGAGCUGACACUUGGGCAGGGUCCAGGGCACUUGGGAAGACAAAGGUGAUGACGUAAGUCCACAUCAAAACAGGUAAAAAGGGUAAUGAAACUGGGAGUGUCAUCCUAGUACAGGUUUUUGGGAAUCUCUGUCUCUGUGAAAAGAGCCCUGCUGGGCUGUGCCUGGGCAGAAAGAAGGCCAUGAGAGUAGCCAUGGUACAUGUGGCCAUCUUAAAUGACUAGACCUGAGGACAGUCUGUGAAUUCUAUGGACACCCUAAGGGAAAUUUAUUGUAAUUCAUUCCUUGAUAAAAUGAUGUUUUCUACUCAGAUCUCAGGCCCUGGGGGUGUUGGGUAUAACAACAUGCCAAAGAGCUGACGUGUACACUCCUCUUUUACAGGUGAUGGGAAAGUCAGAAGACGAGGAGGGCAUCUUGAUAGGAGGACAAUGUUGGAAUCCCAGAAAAAAGAAGCCAAGUUCCUCCAUGGGGCUCCACCAUUCUUCUCAUAUAUAUGCAUGUUGACUUUCUAAGCAGAUGCCUCCAGUUAUGAUUCUGACCAUCAGUAAGCACUUAAUGGUCAUGAGGCUUCCCUGACAGGAACAAAACAGGACUGAGCCAAAAUCUCAUUUCUGUGCUCCAAAGUCCUUCCCUGUUUGUGGUUGCUGAGGACGGUCUGAAGAGAAAAGACGGGAGCCUGCUGUGUCAGUGAAUGCCCAACCUCUGGAACUCUGUGAGUUGGAACUGUAGUUGCUGCUAAUGCUGCUGCCUCUGAGGCAAAAAUCUAGUUCAGCUUGUGAGAAGAUGAGCUUUCCAUCCUCCAACCUGAACUUUCUGUCUCAGAGCAGACGGUGUGUACACUUGAAAGGAAAGACCAGGUAAGGAACAUGGUGAGGUCCCAGGUGGCUCUCACCGUGUGCUUCUUCUCAACCCACGAACCCAAGUUCCUUCAGUCCCAUCUCAAUAUUACUCAUAGUUCUAAGAUGAAUAGCGUCCUGGAGGGCUGAUAGGACUAACAGAUCCCUGGGUGGCAUGUCCCCUGCACAGACUCUUCAGGAUCUCCUGUGAGGGCCUGUCCCUCUUCAUUCAUUACCCAUCCUGUGGUGUGAAUCCCUGAACACGCUGACACUCACUGCUCAGUGUGCACACCUGCCCGCCACUUCCAGGAAGUUCUCCCGCUGUUGGAUUCUGGGUUCCAGCCUCCUUUUCUAUAGAACGUGUUUAGUGUAGUCAAAAAGGAACCUGACUAAAACAGUGUUUUGAGUAGCUAGACUUCCAUGAUGCCUAGAGGCAGCAUGAGGUGGGGUCCCUGGGAACACUUAGCUUUGUCUCUCUCAGUAAGCUACACUUUCGACAGGCAUCAGCUGAUCACAGGGAAGAAAGACACUUACUGUGCUCCCAUCUUCAGUGAGCAAGUCUUCUCUGAAUGGCAUUUCCCUAGUAUCAGCAUGCUUCUCCAGGAACAGGGCAAUAUCCUAUGAUGUUCUACCAUCCAUGCACUCUCUCUGCUGUCCUCUGUGUCUGCACACUUAACUCCUGUGACUCUCUUUGUGAGGAGCUCAUCCUCUGGUCUGUUCACACUUCUUCUCUGCAGAAUCUCAGUAGUGUCAGGUCAGGAAGCUAUGGGCUGGAUCAUGACCAAGGUACUGGGGACUCUGUCCUUCUCAUCCCAUGGUAUCCCAUCCUCUCAUGUCUUCCUUGCAGAUCCUGGUGCUUUCCCACAAGAUGCUGCUGGAUAUGGCCCCGUGGCAGGCCAAGAGCCUCUGUCUGCCAGACAGGAGACACCGUCACUGAGUCCAGCAAGCUCACGUGCAUCAUCACAAGCAGAUGUUGGAUGGAGGUCUGGGAAACACAGUGUGGACACGUGUGAUUUAGGUCCUCCAUUUCAGUGCCUAGACCUAGAAUUCCUCUGCACGUUGGGGCUUGGAAAAUGGCCACGUGCAGAGGGGCUGGCAGUUCAGGGAGCAGGGACAAAUCUGCACGGUCCUACCUCCCAGAAGAUGAGGCGAGGCGUUGCGGUUAGCAUGACUCGUGACAUGAAGCACUCAGAGGUUCACCACGAAUCUGAAAGUCAAGACACCGACCUCCAUUAAUAUUGUCUUCCUUAGCCUUCCCUUAGAGACAAAACUGAAAGUCACCGUGGACCUUAUCUUUAACAUGCUGAGUUCAUCUCAACAUUUAUCAUCGUGAAUAGACCUUCUAACCAACACUAAGAAUUCAUUUCCCAGAAAAUGGAACAUCCUUGUGGCCAUGACAUCUCUGGACUCUCAUAAGCCCAUCCUGGUGGAGGGUAGAGCUCUGUCAGUCAUGGGAGCAGUGCGUCUCUGCAGGUCAAGAUGAGUGGAUUCGUGGAAACUUUUAUCAAAAUGUGUUAAUGAUCUCAAGCAUUUGACUGUUAACUAUGGAGGAAGAACCAUUGGCCAUCAUCCUCACCCGUGGAUGUGUCUAUAUGUCCGUCCCAGCCCUUGAGCUGUCAAGUCUCCAGGGGAAAACUUCGUAGGGGAAGGUGCAGGAUCUACGUGUGGGUCUCUUUGCUUGCCUUCAGUACACGGAUAACACAGGUGAUGCUUCCUCU
rnacentral:sRNA from 1 species